rnacentral:rRNA from 1 species
GCUUAGAGAGGGGUCAAUGUCCUAUCAGCUAGUUGGUAGGGUAAUGGCCUACCAAGGCUAAGACGGGUAGCCGGCCUGAGAGGGUGGUCGGCCACACUGGGACUGAGACACUGCCCAGACUCCUACGGGAGGCUGCAGUCGAGAAUCUUUCGCAAUGCCCGAAAGGGUGACGAAGCGACGCCGCGUGUGGGAAGAAGGCCUUCGGGUUGUAAACCACUGUCGGGAGUUAAGAAAUGCAAGGGUGUUAAUAGCAUCCUUGCUUGACUAAGGCUCCGGAGGAAGCCGCGGCUAACUCUGUGCCAGCAGCCGCGGUAAUACAGAGGCGGCAAGCGUUGUUCGGAAUUAUUGGGCGUAAAGAGCACGUAGGCGGCUUUGUAAGUCAGUUGUGAAAGCCUUCUGCUCAACGGAAGAACAGCAUCUGAUACUGCAAGGCUAGAGUGCGGAAGGG